rnacentral:lncRNA from 1 species
CUGUAGUGUAGUGGUUAGGGGUUAGGGACAUGGACUGUUCUGUAGUGUAGGGGUUAGGGGUUAGGGACAUGGACUGUUCUGUAGUGUUGGGGUUAGGAACAUGGACUGUUCUGUAGUGUUGGGUGUAGGGGUUAGGGACAUGGACUGUUCUGUAGUGUAGGGGUUAGGGGUUAGGGACAUGGACUGUUCUGUAGUGUUGGGGUUAGGAACAUGGACUGUUCUGUAGUGUAGGGGUUAGGGGUUAGGGACAUGGACUGUUCUGUAGUGUAGUGGUUAAGGGUUAGGAACAUGGACUGUUCUGUAGUGUAGUGGUUAGGGGUUAGGGACAUGGACUGUUCUGUAGUGUAGGGGUUAGUGGUUAGGGACAUGGACUGUUCUGUAGUGUUGGGGUUAGGAACAUGGACUGUUCUGUAGUGUAGGGGUUAGGGGUUAGGGACAUGGACUGUUCUGUAGUGUAGUGGUUAAGGGUUAGGAACAUGGACUGUUCUGUAGUGUAGUGUAGUGGUUAGGGACAUGGACUGUUCUGUAGUGUAGGGGUUAGGGGUUAGGGACAUGGACUGUUCUGUAGUGUAGGGGUUAGGGGUUAGGGACAUGGACUGUUCUGUAGUGUAGGGGUUUUGGACGUACACUGUUCUGUAGUGUAGGGGUUAGGGACAUGGACUGUUCUGUAGUGUAGGUGUUAGGGACAUGGACUGUUCUGUAGUGUAGGUGUUAGGGACAUGGACUGUUCUGUAGUGUAGGGGUUAGGGACGUGGACUGUUCUGUAGUGUAGGGUUUAGGGCUUAGGGGUUAGUGGUUAGGGACAUGGACUUUUCUGUAGUGUAGUGGUUAGGGGUUAGGGACAUGGUCUGUUCUGUAGUGUAGGGGUUAGAGACAUGGACUGUUCUGUAGUGUAGUGGUUAGGGACAUGGACUGUUCAUUAGUGUAGUGGUUAGGGACAUGGACUGUUCUGUAGUGUAGUGGUUAGGGACAUGGACUGUUCUGUAGUGUAGUGGUUAGGGACAUGGACUGUUCUGUAGUGUAGUGGUUAGGGACAUGGACUGUUCUGUAGUGUAGUGGUUAGGGACAUGGACUGUUCAGUAGUGUAGUGGUUAGGGACAUGGACUGUUCUGUAGUGUAGUCGUUAGGGACAUGGACUGUUCUGUAGUGUAGGGGUUAGGUGUUAGGGACAUGGACUGUUCUGUAGUGUAGGGGUUAGGGGUUAGGGACAUGGACUGUUCUGUAGUGUUGUGGUUAGGGGUUAGGGACAUGGACUGUUCUGUAGUGUAGUGGUUAGGGGUUAGGGACAUGGACUGUUCUGUAGUGUUGUGGUUAGGGGUUAGGGACAUGGACUGUUCUGUAUUGUAGGGUUAGGGGUUAGGGACAUGGACUGUUCUGUAGUGUAGUGGUUAGGGACAUGGACUGUUCAGUAGUGUAGUGGUUAGGGACAUGGACUGUUCUGUAGUGUAGUGGUUAGGGACAUGGACUGUUCUGUAGUGUAGUGGUUAGGGACAUGGACUGUUCUGUAGUGUAG